UACGUAGGGCGCAAGCGUUGUCCGGAUUCACUGGGUGUAAAGGGUGCGCAGGCGGGCUGGCAAGUCAGCGGUGAAAUCUCACGGCUCAACCGUGAAACUGCCGUUGAUACUGCCAGUCUUGAGUUCGGGAGAGGUUGAUGGAAUUCCAGGUGUAGCGGUGAAAUGCGUAGAUAUCUGGAAGAACACCGGUGGCGAAGGCGGUCAACUGGCCCGUAACUGACGCUGAGGCACGAAAGCGUGGGGAUCAAACAGG
rnacentral:rRNA from 1 species